UGGGGAAUAUUGGGGCAAAUGGGGCGCAAGCCUGACCCAGCAACGCCGCGUGAAGGAAGAAGGCUUUCGGGUUGUAAACUUCUUUUGUCAGGGACGAGUAGAAGACGGUACCUGACGAAUAAGCCACGGCUAACUACGUGCCAGCAGCCGCGGUAAUACGUAGGUGGCAAGCGUUAUCCGGAUUUAUUGGGUUUAAAGGGUGCGCAGGCGGCUCGUCAAGUCAGCGGUGAAAGCCCGGGGCUCAACCCCGGUAAGCCGUUGAAACUGGCAAGCUGGAGUUCGGGCGAGGCAGGCGGAAUGCGCGGUGUAGCGGUGAAAUGCAUAGAUAUUGCGCAGAACUCCGAUUGCGAAGGCAGCUUGCCAGCCCUGGACUGACGCUGA
rnacentral:rRNA from 1 species